GAUUAACGCUGGCGGCGUGCCUGACACAUGCAAGUCGAACGAGUUCUAGUUGCCCGCAAGGGUGACUAGCGCUAGUGGCGGACGGGUGAGUAACACGUGGGCAACCUGCCUGAGAGCGCGGAAUAACCCUGCGAAAGCAGAGCUAAUACCGCAUGUGGUUGUUGGUUGGCAUCUUCUAACAACUAAAGUCGCAAGACGCUCUCAGAUGGGCCCGCGGCCUAUUAGCUAGUUGGUGAGGUAACGGCCACCAAGGCUCUGAUGGGUAGCUGGUCUGAGAGGACGGACAGCCACACUGGGACUGAGACACGGCCCAGACUCCUACGGGAGGCAGCAGUGAGGAAUUUUCCGCAAUGGGCGAAAGCCUGACGGAGCAACGCCGCGUGAGGGAUGAAGUCUCUAGGGAUGUAAACCUCUGUUGGGAGGGACGAAAUUUGACGGUACCUCCUGAGGAAGCCCGGCUAACUACGUGCCAGCCGCCGCGGUAAU
rnacentral:rRNA from 1 species